UAAGCGUGUGAGAGGACAGUGUCAGGUGGGCAGUUUGACUGGGGCGGUCUCCUCCUAAAGAGUAACGGAGGAGCGCAAAGGUUGGCUCAGCACGGAUGGAAACCGUGUUUUAGAGUGUAAGAGCACAAGCCAGCUUUACUGCGAGUCCGACAGGACGAGCAGUCUCGAAAGAGGGCUCUAGUGAUCCUGCGAUCGCGUGUGGAAGCGUCGUAGCUCAUCGGAUAAAAGGUACUCCGGG
rnacentral:rRNA from 1 species